rnacentral:rRNA from 1 species
GAUGAACGCUGGCGGCGUGCCUAAUACAUGCAAGUCGAGCGAACGGACGAGAAGCUUGCUUCUCUGAUGUUAGCGGCGGACGGGUGAGUAACACGUGGAUAACCUACCUAUAAGACUGGGAUAACUUCGGGAAACCGGAGCUAAUACCGGAUGAUAUUUUGAACCGCAUGGUUCAAAAGUGAAAGACGGUCUUGCAGUCACUUAUAGAUGGAUCCGCGCUGCAUUAGCUAGUUGGUAAGGUAACGGCUUACCAAGGCAACGAUGCAUAGCCGACCUGAGAGGGUGAUCGCCACCCUUGGAACGGAGACCGGGUCCAGACUCCAAGGGGGGGAAGCAUGAGGGAUUCUUCCUCAAGGGGGGAAGGCCGAACGGCGCAACGCCGGGUAAGUAUUAAAGUUUUUGGAAUCGAAAAACUCUUUUAUUGGAAAAAACCAUAUGUUAAAGUAACUGUGCACACCUGCGGGUACCCUAAUAAGAAGCCCAGGCCAAGCUCGGUC